ensembl:lncRNA
UGCGCCCUGAGUUUGUGUUAUUAGUACAAAUAAACACAACUGCUUAUUUAGUUGAAGCUAGCGAGCUAUUUUACAGUGAGAAUGAGUUGUGUAGUUGCACCCUGACAGUGGCAAGUGGCAAGCAGGUCAUCCUGAUUGGUAUAAUUGUACGGACAGAGAUUAUCACACUACUGUCAAUGGGCUGGAAUAAGAGGAAGUUCACCAACAUGGAUCGCAUGUAACACUCGUCUGAAGAAGUGGACCAUAAUCAUAUUCUUUAAUGAUAACCACAAAAAGAAGAGAGAGAGAACCAACGAAACGUACAGCCUUGAAGGGCUCAACAGCAACAAUACAAGGACAAGAUCCUACAACAUAGAAUGUCAAAAGACUGGAGGAGACCAGCCUCGCAAAAAGCGGGAAGAGCUAGACAUCAACACCGCUGUGCUACAGGAGUGGAUUACUGAGGUCCAGCAGUGGCCUGAUGACACACUUCAGGAUCGUCAGACGGGGCAUCUCCAGAAGAAGCUUGAAGGGCUUUACCACAGUGUGAAAGAGGAAACUACUUCUACCAUUUGACAGGUAAGCCCCAACAACAGUAUGACCUCAAACAUAUUAUUAAUCAAGCAGUAAAAGUGAGUUGUGAAAGAGAAUGCAUUAGUCAUACACAUCAGACCAUGUUAAUGAUCAAAUGUAGGUAUGACCUAUGUUAUUAAUUGAUCUAAUGCAAAACAUGUAAUUAAACUGAGAAAUUAUGUGACCAUGAACCUCUUGUGAGCCACACCUCUGCAUGCCUUGUGUAAUGUUAACUACAUGACGACAAAUGCUUUGGAAAUGAGUUGCUUGCUUUGUAUUCUUUGUUUGUGCCUCUAUAGUAGCUCUAACUUAUAGUCAUGUAAUAUAUCUGAAUAUACAGUCCAUCUAAUCACCCUUUUUAUUUUGACGGCAACAAGAGGCGGCAUCUGAUUCUGAGAAAUUGAGGACAAAGCAGCCUUGACAGCUGCCAUUGUUCAACUUCACGAGCAGCAGGCAGAGUUUAGGCUCCCCACAGUGGAUGAGCAGCUCAAUACUGAUAACUUUGUGUGGCCAUGGGAGAGACUUG